GGUUGGUGCAAAAGUAAUCACAGUUUUUAUCAUUAUAAUGGCAAAAACUGCGAUUACUUUUGCAACAACCCAAUA
rnacentral:miRNA from 1 species